UCCUUGGCAAUUUCCCUGCUGUUCACCACUAUGGUGGGGUGGCAACCCAGUUUGACACAGAAGAUUGGACCAUAUUUCUCAGCCAUGGCUGAAAAGGUCCUGAAAUAGGGUAUUCUGGCAUUGAGAAGAUGGAGGUGCCCUAUGAAAGGUAAAGCACCAUAAGGUUCUGGUAUUUUGGUACCCUUUUUUCGUUUAGUAGAUUCAUUGGGAGAUGUAAAGAACCUAAACACUUUGUAUGCAAUUAACAAAGCUAAGAUUCCUGCAACAACAGAAGCUUGGACAUAGGAAGAUGGAUCCAUUGUUGGAGGAUUAAUUGUGUACACACUAAUUGGACAUUUAUUUAUAGGAUCUGAAUUCUCUUGCAUUAUUGAAUGAAUGACAUGAUUUUUUUGUUUUUUUAUGAACGUGGUCUAGAAUCUUAAAAAUUUAUCUACCUUCUUGUGGACACGAAUUUCUGUUUAACAAAGCGCUUGUUUAAAGCAUGAGAAUAUUUUGAAAUAUUUUUAUAAAAGCCAGGAAAUGAUAUAGUAACAGAUUACAAUAAUUACAAGAGAAUGAUUGAAAAGGAAUCAAAUUUAGAAACCAUAAAUAGUUAGGUAUUAUAUUUACUAAAAUUAGAUAUUAUUUUAAAUACUAAAAUUAUUGAUAUAUAAAGUAGUUUUUAUUAUUAAUAAAAAUUUAUAAAAUAAUUUAUAUAUUUGUAUCUAAUUUAGCUAUCAAAUUUUAGUUACUAUGUUUUAUGUUUUAAAUUAGAUGUUAUUUUAGAUACUAAAAUUAUUGAUAUAUAAAAUUAUUUCUAUUAUUAAUAAAAAUUUAUAAAUUUUUUAUAAAUUAGUAUCUAAAUUAGUUAUCAAAAUUUUAGUUAUUAAUGUUUUAGAUUUUAAAUUAGUCUCUAAAGAUUAAUGAAGACUAAUUUAAAAUAUAAAGUAGUUAAUAGUUAAAAUCUUGAUAAUGUUAGAUAUUAAUUUAAAUUUUUUAUUAAUUAUAGAAACUACUUUAAAUAACUAUAAUUUUUUAAUUUAUAAAAUAAUUUCUAAUUUAAUAAAUUUUAAUUAAUUAUUUUGAUUUUUAAAAUUAGUUAGUGAUAUAAAUUUAUAGAGUGAAUAUAUAAGUUAAAAAAGUUCGAGAAAUCCGACACGAAUGAAUUAUAAAUUCAUACAAGAAAAUCAAGCCUAUUUUUAGAUGAAAAAACCCAUCGUUGGAAAGGGGAAAAUUUAAUAAAGGUGACAAACCAAAUUUUUCUAAGGAAACUAGUUAUUAAGUUGGUGGAAUUUUUAUACCAAUAAUAUAGUUAUACAAAAAUAUAAUUUAUUUUAUCUAAUACAAUUAUUAAAAGGUAAUUUAAUGUCUCAUUUGAGAUAAAUGCAACUUAUUAAAAGGACUAAUAUAUAAAUAAUUAAAAACUAAAUUGUAAAUGAGUUGAAGAAGAAUAUUUUCUAAAAUUAACUAUAAUGGGAAUACUAAUUGUAAGAGCUUAAUUUUUAGUAAUGUGAAAAGUCCCCUCUCUGACAUGAAUUUUUUUUUUCAACCCUUAUAUGAAUGAUGAGGGAGAAGAAGAAGGAAGAAAAACAAAAUAACAUUAUUUCUUCAUUUCUAAAACAAUUUAAAACACACCAAAGGUUUCGUACAAUAGAUAGGUAUUGUUGUAGCUAGUGAAAAUUAAAUGUAUCCAACAUCUUGUUAGUUUUCUAUAAUUGAGAGUAGUGGAAAAUGAAAAUUUGCAUAAUAUAUCAGACCAUGUAUUAUGAAAUUUAUGAUUCUCAAUAAAUAAAUAUUUUCUCUCAAUAUUUUACAAACAUAAGUUAUAAAAUUUGAGGAUUUUUAAAGGAAUGUACUGCUUAUUUGAGAUAGUGUUUUUGUUUAUAUUUCUGAGAGAAAACCUUCAUUUUUACAAAUAAAUAAAAUCUCGUACGGUUUGAAUUUUAUAAAGUUUAUCAUUUACCUUACAUUUGACUCUUUACAAAAGAAAUAGUUUCAUCAAACCAUAUUGUUGUUGGAAAUCAAUAAAAUUUAAUGAAAUAAAUGAUUGUAACACUAGUGAAUCAAAAUUAUGAGAAGAUAUUGCAGGCUAAAAUUACAAAUAAAGUUGGGAUAGGUAUGAGUUUUACUAUCGAUAUCUUCAUUAUAAAGUAAAAAUUUAUCUUCAUCUCUAUUCUCAUAUUCAAUAGAUAUGAAGUUUUAGUCUCAUCCUUAUUCUUAUUGGUUAACGGGUAUAGUAGUAUUCACACUCACACUCGUACAUGUCCUUAUACUAUUUUAAAUAUUAAUUACAUAUUUUUUACAAAAGAAUAAAAAAAUAUGAAGUUAUCAAUGCUUUAAUGUCAAAAGAAUAAAUAUUUUAUUUUCUUACAAGUCAAAUAUUAAGAAAAAUGUGUAAAUAUGAUAUCAUAGUACCAAGUAAUAAUUGGAUAAAGGUCAAUAAUUAUAGAAAGGAGUAAAAAUGAUCAAAUGUGUUGAUUAGAUGAAAUUGAUGAUUUCAUUUCUAAAAUGUAAUACAUAUCAUUUUAAUAAAACUAAACAAAGAAAAAAAAAUGUGUAAUCAAGGUUAUGAUGAGAGAAAAAUACCUUGAACAUAUGAGUAAACUUCAAAUGAUUCAAAUCAUUAAGAGAGAAUGAUUUUUUAAAGGAAAUAAUGGUUCUUCAAAUGAAACAAAACCAAAAAUUAAGGAGAACAAAGAAGAUAAGUUUCUUAUGUUACUAGUGUUGAACUUGAAGAGUAAUGUCAUGUCUCAAGAGAAGUUAUUUUGUUGAUAAUGUUUAAAGAUUCUGAUCUUAAAGAUGUAUUGUGUUAUAACUUUCAUUGCAUGUGUUUGAGAAUCUUAUACACAAGAUAUUCAUCACAAGAGUUUUAGUAUAAUACACAAUAAUCUUAAAAUUAACCAACAAAAAAUUGUUUUUAAAAUAGUUAAAACAUGUAAAAAAAAGUUUUAAGUUUGUUUUAAUCAAUUAAAGUCUCACAUAAAUAUGAGUAAAUUAUUCUUUAUAUAUUUCAGAACAUGAUAAUAAAUUAUUCACACUUUGUUAACUAAAUAAAAAAAAACAAAAAAAAAAUUGUUUUUAACUAUUCGUCGAAAAUAAUUGAUUAUCGUCUUUAAUAAUCCAUUAACAUUAUUUAUAGGUUCUUUUCUAAAAUAAAUAAAAAGUGGAAAUAGUCAAUUAACACGUGCAUUAACCAAUUAAAUUAGAAAACGUUUUAAAUUAUUUUCAAAUUUUACUGAGACUAAUCGAUUACCAACUUCAGAUAAUGGAUUAAAUGCAUAUGAAUAAGUUUUAAUCAACAUUUUCUAAACUCUAUACUUUUAUUUAAGAUCUUUAUGAGCUAUUUUCAUUUGUUAAAAGAGUGCUUUCAGUAGUAUUCAAAGAAAUCUUUCAAAAGGUUGUGUUGUGCAACUGAAGUCUCUUGUGCUACUUCUGUUGUGUUGUUUUCUAGUAACAUUUUUCUUUCCUAAGUUGUUAGAGUGUUUCUAGUUUAUAUCCUUUUUAGUUUUCAAGAGUUGAUUUGGUUAGUUCCCUCUUAGUUUGAUCCAAAGGUAGGACAUAUCCUCUUGAUUGUAUUUAGCAGUUGAUCUUAUGUUAUUGUCUUAUGUAUAUUUCUUUUGUGCUUAGUGCUUAUAUAAAACAUAUAACGAUAAUGAACUUCAUUUAUUCUAAGAUUAAAUAUUUGAUACUAGAUGUAGAUGUAGGGUCAGUCAUCUUCUACCUUAACAAAAUUGGUCCAUUUCAACUGUAUGUACUCCACUAGUUAAAUUAGGCAUACAAUUAAUAUCAAAAUUUAAAUUAACAUCUGAUCUCUUCAUCGUGAUCAGUUUUUUAGAUCCAAUAGUUAAGUCUAAUCCCAUGUUUUUAAUGGUGAAUUUUCACAAUUCUAUCCUUCAAAAUCUGUACACGGUUGCAUUUAAGGCAUUAACAUAUUAUCCUCCAUUAAAUCUAAACAAAAAAGCCAUAAAAAUCCUAAAUAAACAUGAGGAAUGGUUCUUUUCGUUUGGUCUUGCAGCUAAUGCAUCAUUUAUUGCACACAAAAAGUGAGAGAGCUUAUGUUGUGGAAACGGUUAGAAUGGAUGACUUUAAACUAGAGGGGGGGGGGGAUUGUUUAAAGAGGGUUUUCGUAAACUUUUAAGUCAAGAAAGAAAUUCUCUCAAGAAACAAUUGAUAAGGAAUCCAGUUUGCAAAAACACCAAGCAAAAACAACAGUACCAGAAAAACAAUCGGUUGUUUCGCAAAAACAAUCUGUUGUUUAUACCAGCAAACAAAUAUCAAAACUGAAUUUAAAGAGAUUAAGGAUAGAGAGAUUGCACACAGAUGUUUAUACUGGUUCACUCUAAACCCAGAGCUACAUCCAGUCUUCUCAGAAACCACUGAGGAAAUCCACUAAGCAACCACACCUUGAUUAGUUACACCACAACCAAGAAAGUGACAUUGAUCCCCUCAAGACACACACUUCUCUUGGCCAACACACCAACACUAAGAUUGUUGAUCUUGAUCCCCUCAAGAACACACAACAAAUCUCAGCAAACACACAAACGAAACUUUUUCAACAGAGUACAAGGAUUAUACUUGUUACAGAAGAUAAUCUGAAAUCAAUACAAGCAGAAUCCUAUUCCACACACUUUGAUCAAUCACAAACUCUAAGCAAUCUCAGCUCUUUGAAAAACUCAGAAUCUGUAUUCAAAAACUUGUUUCUCAAUUCUGUUUUUCUGAAUUUAUUCAAAGAUGUUGUUUGUUAUCAAAUCUUAACAAACUCUUAAAUUGCAUUUAAAGAUUGGUCAAAGCAUUUAAAGACUGCAGCGUAAGCAGUUAAAUCAUUUAAAGCUUAGUCAAAGAUAAAACAGUUUUUCUGUUAUGGUACCAAAACAAACCAUCGGUUGUUUCCUCGAAUCAAUCGGUUGUUUUGGUUUUAACAGCUCAACCAUUUGAAAAACAGUUUUCAAUCUUUUCUAAAAACAUCUAAGUAUAAGCAAUCAGUUGUUUCGACAAAACAAUCGGUUGUUUUUAACUUAGUUUGAAAAACAUUUUUGUUUCAAAAAGAUUGAGAAUGCCUAUGCUUUGGAUUCAAUCAAGAGGUGGAUUACAUACACAAUCUACCCCAGAUCCUAACUAAAACAGCACAGUAACAGCAAGCACAGCCAAGGCUUCAACAUCCUUCAAAAGAUUUGGAUUCUUCAAAGCUUGAACACCACUUGGUUCAACAGAAACUAGUGCAAAAGACUAGUGAUUUUGAAUUGACUUAGGCUAUUUUGUCAUAUUAUAAGCCUAUAAUUAAAUUUAAUAUUUCAAAAGUUUACUACUUAGUAAGUUAAAAAUUUAUUUAAACUAUGGAGCAACAUAUUUUGUGUUUAUACGUUUCACAAUAUAUGUAAAUUAUAGGUAAAAGUCAAUUCUAAGUUUUCUCUCAACCAUCACAUUAAGUGAUGGAACAUAGGUCCUCACAUUAAUGGAAUAGAAAGUUGAGUAACCAAUUAAAUCAAUAAUUCUAAAUUCAUUAUUAUCACAUAAAUUUCCAUUGAGAAAAAGAUAAAUUUAAGAAUAUUUUAUGCUUCAUUUUUAUAUUGUAGUAUUGAUUCAAUGCAAUAAAGCAGGUAAGAAUCUUGAGCUUAAGAAUCUCACCCAUUUUACCCAGUAUUAAUAUUUAAAACAAUUUAAAUAGAACUAAGCAACAUGUUCAACUAUUUCUCUUUACAUAUGUUCUAGCAAAGUUAAAAUCCAACCUUAUUUAUGAUAAAAAAAAAUGAAAAACCACACAUACUAAUCAUAAAUACAAAAUAAAUUAAUAAUAAAUGUCUUUUAUUCAAACCCUAGAUUUAAAAGAAAAGUUUGUUUCAAAUAAAUAGAAAGCUCUAAUGGAAGCAAUUUAAACUUAUUAUUUUAUUGUUAAAUUUAUUAAAAACAAAAUUUGCCUACUAGUUUAUCUAGAUUUUAGUUUCAUUAUCUAAACUUCAUGUUAUUGAAAACUCUUCCAAUUUUACUAGUGGAUGUUUUAAUUAAAUAUAAUUAUCUCUUUGAUAUUAAUAUUUUUUAAUGGUUUGUGUAAAUUGAAUUUGAUGGUUGCUAUUUUUAUUGUUCAUCGUAUUAUUGGCUAUAAAUAUGAUUUAAUGAAUGAACAAUAUUUUUUUUUCCGGUGACACAAACUUUUUAAGUCACAUUUUUAGUAAAAGUAGAGAAAUUGAUAAGGAAUGAAUUUUUUCCACAUUUAAAUUUUAUUGAUAUAAAUAUUAGAGUAAAUUGCAAUAAAAAAAACAUGAUAUAUUUUUUCCCACUGAAGGAUGGAAAAACAAGUUUGAUUAAUUGACUUUGUCUCAACGAAACUGCCGAAAGUUGUUUUUUUUUUUUUUUUUAUCGGCAAUAACAAAUAAAUAAAUUAGAACCACUUCAGGGAUGAUUCAACCCUUAUACACAUUACACAAAACCAAUUCCAGUUGCAUACCACCAAAACCAACAAAACAAUCCCUGUCCAUAUAUAAACUAAAAAAAAAACUUUAGUAAACUAACCUCAUACACUCCAUUGGUUCCAAACACCAAUCAGAAUAGGAGAAGGAAACUGACCGGGAAUUUGUAGCCACCCAGGACCACACCUUUACUUGUACCAAUGCAAAAACUUCAGAUACAUCCGCCACUCCUCCUUUGAAAAUUAAGCGAUUCCUGUGGCUCCAAAUUUCACUAACCACCCCUACCCAGAUUGUGUUCCAAACUACCAGACUCGUCUCAGAAGAAAAGCUCAGCCUAAACUGAUCAAAGUUCAACUUCGGCUCAAUGUGAGACACAAACAGAAUCCCAAGCCAUCUAUAGCAUAAACACCAAACUCGCCAAGCAAAACUGCAUCCAAAGAACAAGUGACUACCAGACUCUUCCUCUUUCCCGCAAAAAAUGCACCACAGACUUUCUAACUGCACCCCUCUUCUACUAAGAUUAACCCUAGUAGCAAGCUUGUUUUCCAACACCCUCCAAGCCAAAAGCCCUGCUGAAGGAAUUGCCUUGGACCCCCAUAACUUACAGAAAACCGGCGAAGAAACCACCUCAUUGUCCUUCCUAAUAAGGUUAUACGCAGAGCUGACUGUAAAAAAUUGGAGACCCCCAACCUUCCAAAUCCAUUUAUCAAAGUGGCUUGACCGGGUUGCAUCAAUCGUUUAAAUUGGUUGAAAAUUUGUCUACCAAAAAAUUAGAAAAAACAAAAAUAAUAAUAUUUAUUUCAUAAAAUAUUCAAAUGAAUUUUUUUGAUUAAAUAAAGUAGAAUAUUGAAGUAAUUUAGUUUAAAUUUCAUUUGAAUAUUAUUCUUUUAUCAGUAAGAGAAAUUAAAUUUAUAAAAUAAACUAAGAAUAUAGUUAAUAUAUGCACUACAACAAAAUCAUGAAAUAGAAACCAUUGUUUAGAGACCAAAAUAAUUAGUUGGAAUAGUAACUAAAUUAGAGACCAUUUUAGAAAUUAAAAAAAAAUGGUUUCUAAAUUAGUUUAUAUUAUUGUUAAAUAGUUUCUAAAUUGGUAUCUAAUUAACAACUAAGAUUUUUGCUACCAAAUUUAGAAACUAAAUAAUGGGUAGUUAAAACAUUGGUUGCUAAUUAGAUACCAAUUUACAAACUAUUUAAUAAUAAUAGAAACUAAUUUUAGAAACCAAUUUUUUUUUUUAGUUUCUGAAAUGGUCUCUAAUUUAGUUACUAUUACAACUAAUUAUUUUGGUCUCUAAAAAUUGGUUUCUAUUUCAUGAUUUUCUUGUAGUGAUGUUUUGAUUUUUUUUUUAAACUAAAUUCUUAAAAUUGUACAGCAAGAACUUUAAACUUAAGGUUUUAAUAUAAUUAGUAUAAUAAUUAAUUACUUUUUAUCUUUAAAAUUAAUUUUUGUUUAAUAAUUUUAUUUAGUGUAAAAACAGUUUAACAUCUACUAAACUCAAAGUAAAUGGUAAAUGAUUGCUCCAAGAAAGAGUUCAAUACAAAUAAGAACCUAACUUUUUUAAGAAAAUAAAAAAUGGUAUGAAAAGAACAAGAUAAUGUCGACACAAUCCUAGACAUGUCCUAUGCCCUUGUCGUUGAAAAAAAUUGUUACAACAACCUAUAAUUUAGCUUGGUUUGUGAACUACAAAAAUGUUGCAAUAAAUGUAUUCUAUUUAGAUGUGAAUUUCAUGUAAAUAACUAUUUGGAUAUUUGUUUUUAUAAACAAACGUAAAAAAAACAAAAUAAAUCCAUUUAUAAAUUAAAAUUAAUGUAUAAAUAAAUUAAUUUAUAGAAGUUAUUUUUUAUCAACUUUUUCAAAAUUUUAACUUUAACUCAUACAUGAGAUAAUUUGUUUAUGAAAAAUAUAAAUUGUUUUUUCUUAUUUUUUAUAAAUACUUACAAAUAAGUUUUCUAGAAGAAGUUGGUUUGAUUUUGUUUUGAUAUGAGUCUAACCAUAUUAAUUUUGACUUUUCCUUUUAAAAGUCUUUUCAAACUUAAACCUUAUAAGUAAGUUAUCUUAAUCAUGACUUAUUUGAUGCUAUUUUAGGGCGCAUUUGGCAAACUAAAUUUGAAGUUCUAAUUUUUAUCUUAAAAUACGUUUGGUUGUAAAUUUUACAGUUAACAAAAGUUAAAAGUUUCAAUUUUCUUACCUGGUUUCUGUUUCUUCUUUUUCACGUUUUUCUGCUCAUCACUCUCAAUGAAGCUUUCCUUUGAGUUGUCACGGGUUUUUUCCUCUGCUUUUGUUUUUUUCAGAAAUAGUGACUAUGUGCUUUUACACAAAUACCCUUAAUAUGAUGAGUCACCAUCUUCUAGAUGGUAUAAGAGAAGUGCUAUGCUCCUCUGAUAAUUUUUACUUGGUCUUUUGUUUUUUUAUUUUUUUUAUAUUUUUCUUGGUCUUUAUCGUUUCUUGAUUUUUUUUUAAAUCAAUAGAGUUCUUAUUAUCAGAAACCAUUACACUAAGUUUAAAUUUUAUAGUCCAUUAUUUACAUUUUGGAGAAAAUGUAGGAUUGAUUCUGAUUUCUUCACCCCUUAAUGAAAUUAACUGUCAUAUUUGGAACAUAAUUAUGAAGAUAGUUCUUUUGAUCAAGAACGAUUCUACUUUUGAGACUUGUAAAAGAUGUAAUGUAAUGAUUUUUCAUGGAUUACAAAGAUUAGAACAUCUCAACAAUUUGAGAUUGUUGGCUAUAAGUUGUUAAAAGUUUUUGGAAAGAUUUGUAAGAAAGAUUUUUAAAGGGAGGUUAGUUUUGGAUCUAUAUUUACUUCAAAAUGUUCGUUCUAUCAAAUAGGGAGAAAGAAACACUACUACAAGAAAAUAAUGAAAUAGAAACCAAUUUUAGAGACAAAAAUAAUUAGUUGUUAUAGUAACUAAAUUAGAGACCAUUUUAGAAACUAAAAAAAAUGGUUUCUAAAUUAGUUUUUAUUAUUGUUAAAUGGUUUCUAAAUUAGUAUCUAAUUAGCAAUCAAGGUUUUAACUACCAAAUAAAAUUAGUUUCUAUUUCAUGUUUUUCUUGUAAUGAAACGUCAUACCACUACAAUAGAAACCUCUUUUUUCAUCGACCAAAAUGGACACAAAUCAAAGAAAAUUGAAGAAAAAGCGUUGGUUAUGCAACAACCAAGAAGCCAACGAGAAAAGUGUGGAAACAAAGUCAAUUUGCAUUGGCCAGCAAGAGCGACAAAAAUUGCAUUGGCCAGACAAAAAUUGCAUGGGCCAAACCGAUGUGACGCAGAUGGAAGUAUCAUCGGCCUAGCCGACCUAAGCGGGGAUGAAAUAUCAUUGGCCAGGCCGACGAAGAUGUAUAAAAAAAAGUGAAAUCUGAAUUUGAGUCGGCCCAACCGAUGUGUAAUUGGACAAAAAAAAAAAACUUGUGUGGGUCUGACCCACACAAAAAUGGAAGCUACAAAAAAAAUAAAGAUUAAUAAUGAUUUGUGUGGACUUAGUCGACACAUAAAAACUGAAAAAAUGCAGUUUAUUUUUAUUGUUCUAUUCGUUUUCACCUGUAAAAACUUUUAGAAAAAACAUACAAAUUAUAAAAAUCAUCCAAAUCAUUCAAAUAUUUAGAUAAUUUUAAGUCAGACUGAAUAUUAAUACAUAAAAUACAACUUAGCAAUUAAAAUAAAUCAAAAAAUAAAAUUGUAAAUUAGAAAUUAACCAAGAUUACUAGAACUUGAAAUAGACCAUAAUAAAAUUAUAUAAAAACGUACUACAAAUAAAAAUAUGAAAUGCGUCCCUUGAAGUAGAAGUAGCACUGAUGUGAUUCAUAAAAACCUGUAAAAAAAAUACAAGUAAUGUGGAUAACUUGAUGUGAGUUGAUUUUUAGAUGUUUUCAUUUAUGGUGGCUUGUUGAGAUUUUAACAAUUAAUGGUGAGGACUUAAGGAAGAUUUCCACUGGACACGAACUUAACCAAGUGUUUAAGUAAGUGUGAAAGUUUACUUCACAGAGGCAAAGAUGAAAAACAAGAUAUGAUGAGGAUGAGAUGCGCAAUUGCGGAAUUGAAAAAAUGGGCACAAGGUAACAUCAAUGGUGGUCAUGACCUCCCAAAUGAUGCACCAUACUCAUGAUUAUUAGUGAAACCCAAGAGCAACAAAGAAGAGAAACUAAGAGACAAACAAAUAAAAAUGGAAUGGAGAAAUGAAAGGAAAAAUGGAAUGAGAAAACUUAUGAUGGUGGGUGAGAAAUGUCAUGCCACUUGGAGGGUGAUGUGCUUCAAGAUGAGUGUGUUGGUCGCCGCCACUUGAGAGUUUCCCAAUCAAUCAAGAUAAGACCUCAAACCUAAGAGGACAUAAGCUUCACUAAGAGCUCACACAAUUUGUGCAGAGUUUCUUUACUUCAUUCAAAUUUAACUUGUAAAAUACAAUGGGUAAACCUCAUAUUUAUAGGUGAAGGAGCCUUGGAAAACAAUCAAGAGGGGUAAGAUGGAAAAAAGGGAAAAAAAAUGGGAAUCCUUAGGGUUUGACUAAGUCAAACCCGCACCCUAGGCUUGUCCUUCUAGAAACUAAGUCAAAUUGCCUUCAUAAAGGGUUAGGAACAAGCUAAAAUGAUACCUACACCCCCUAUUAUGCUAAAGGUACCUUAUUCUAGCCUAUCUUUGUUAUUUGGACACCUAAAGUGAGCCUAAAUUAUUUAAAAACAUAUUCUAUUUUUUUAAGGACCAAAAGGAAUAACUUAUGGUAUUCUGGUUUAUAGUUUCUUCUUCUUUUGCUGAUUCUUUCUCGAGGCUUGGUGAGCCUGACUUUGCAUCUUGAGAUGACUGACCCUUUUGGGAAGUGUUUGUUGUGUCCUUAGUUAUUUGUCGGUUUGUACCAUAAGUAGAUGUGAAUAUCUAAAAUAUUUAGUACAUAAUAAAAUUGUGAAAUAAUUAAACUUACAGUGUAGGAUGCAAGGAAAGGGCUGGUCAUCAUGCUCUAAAACAUAUUGAUAGUCAAAUUGACUUGUACUAGUGGAAGCAUUACCAAUUUUUCCAAUUGAAUCAACAACUCUUUACUUUGUUUUAUUUACAAUUCUUGCAAUCAUACACAAUAAACAUCCUACAAACUUUUACUUAUUGUUUUCUAUUUAGUGAAUAUUAUACUUGAUAAUUUAACUGUUCCUUAUGGGUUCGAUAUCAGUUCUUAGGGAAAAAUUCUUACUCUUGACACAAUACACUUGGUGUAAAGUAGUCAUCAUGAAGAAGAACCACACUUACGGAGCCUACAAGAUCUAUAUGACUCAACUGAUGAAGUUCAUUUGAUUUACUUAUUAGCAUACUUAGAGAACAUUGUAUUUGAGGAAUCAUUAAAAGACAAGAAUUGGAAGUUGUAAUGGAUGAUGAGAUAAAAGCAAUUGAAAAAAAUAAAAUGCAAGACUUAGUAGAGUUGCCAAAAGGAUUAUAAACCCAUAAGUGUAAAAUGGGUAUACAAGAAAAAGAUGAAUGUCCAAGGGGAGAAUGAAAGCUACAUCUAGUUGCAAAAGGUUACAAAAGAGGUGAAAUAUGUUACAAUAUCUUGGUAUGUAUCAUACAAUUUGGCUAAAAAUUUACUACGUGAAAAGAGUCAACAACAACUCAACAAUUGAAUUAACAAAUCAACAAUUGAAUUAACAAAGGAUCCAGUUUAUCAUGAGAGGAAUAAGCAUAUUGAUAAUCAUUUUCAUUUUAUUAGGAAACAUGUGAAGAAUGGAGAGGUAAAAAUAAUGUAUGUCACAAGUUAUGAUCAAGUAGCAGAAAACAAAACCUCUACCAAGAAUUUUAUUUGAAAACAUGAAGGAGAUGGUUGGGUUGAAGUAAAUUGUAUCUUAUUUUUUUAUAUGGGUUUAAGUAACCAUUUCUGCAUACUAUAAAAAAAAGUAUUAUCACUUAUUUAAUAUUCAAGUACUAGUAGCUAUUACCAUUAAACUACAUAAGUUUUUGGUAUGAAAGGCCACAUAACCCGAAGUACAAUCUCAUAGUAAUAUCUAGCAUAAAACACUAUUUUAUUAUUUUCCCAUACUUUAUUCAAAGGCUUUCAUAAAGCAUCAACGGAAGACGUGGUGCAAGCGUAAGUUGGAGUUCGUUUUCUUUAGGCAAAGCCACACCUAACCCUUCAGUCAUAUCAACUUCAGCACCAUCCUUUGUGCUCAUAUCAAAGCCUUGAAUCAAGCGAGCCAGGGUCAAAUGCAGCACUUGCAGCCCAAAGGUCACUCCCGGGCACGACCUUCUUCCAAAGCUAAAUGGAAUUAGCUCGAAGUUCUGGCUCAUAAAGUCAAUGUCUCGAUGAGUCGUGAGGAACCUUUCGGGGUUAAACUCAUUAGGGUUGGACCAUACUUCUGGGUCCCUUUGCAGCUCCCAUAGGUUAAUAAGCAAACGUGCUCCCUUUGGGACAUGGUACCCUGCCACACAGCAAUCCUCCAUGGCUUCCCUGAUUCCUGUUAAGGGUGCUGGUGGGUACAGACGAAGGGUCUCUUUGAUGAUGGCAUGGAGAUAAUUGAGGUUUUUUAUGUCAGAUUCUUGGACCCAUCUUUCUUUUCCUACGCUGUUGUCCAGUUCUUGUUGUGCAGCCUUUAGGACCCUUGGGUGGUUUAGGAGCAAGGAGAGUGCCCAUGUUAGGGUUAUGGCUGUGCUUCCAGAGCCAGUAAGGACAAGGAGCUGUAACAAAAGUUCAUCAACAUAAAUAAUCUCUCGUUUGAAUAAAGAAACAAAAUUAUUUUAAGAGAACUCUAAUUUUUUUUAUAAAAGCUUUCAUUAUACAACUUAACAUCUCAGCUAGACAGAUACAUUAAAUAAGAACAAUCAUCUGUCAUCACAUGAAAAAACAAAAUAUGAGAGAUUAAACCAAAACUCAUGUUAACAAAAACGAUAUAUAGUUAGACUAUACCUAUUCAUAAAGAAUUCUAAGAACAAGUUAGAUGGAAACAUAUUAUACUAAUUAAAUGAUUCUGUAUGAAUAAAUUCUAAAUUAUCCAAUUUAUCAGCACACGCAUUCCCUUCACGAAAAAUAUGAAUAACCCUAAACCUAAUUUUUCCAUAGUAAUUAAGUUAAGUAUUCCAUCAAUUUCGAAGUAUCCGCAAAAUAUUAAAAUUAAUUUAUAAAGUAAAAUUUGUAUUUAUUUAUAUAUUAUAAAAUUUUCUUUAUAUGUAGUUAAUGCAAAAUCUUUAAUAUUUUAUCUUUUAAUUGAGAAAUACAAUGAAAUUAUUAUGUUAAAAAAAUUAUAUUUUUUACAAUACUAUGUAAAGAGAUAUAUAAAUGUACAAAUAAAUUCAUCAAAACCUAUUUUUAUUUUAUUUUCUUAGUUUGAGGGAAGAUCUCUUUAUGAAUCCACAAAACCCUUCUUUUUAACCAACCAUUUGUCAUUAUUAUAUUUUCAUUUACACUAUGCAUAGAUUACAAGAAUUAAUAUACUACAAACCUAGGAAAGUUUAUAGAAGAAGACGAACCAGUCUUAUUUAUCCUAAAAUUAAUUAUUUUUUUCUGAAAAAAAAUGGUAGAGUUGUCUGUAUUUUGGAGAAUCCUCUAGAUAAGUAUAAAUAUUUACAUAUUGUUGACUAAUAUGUUUGUCAAACAUCCACAAUUAAACUUAAAAACAUUUUUUUUAAUAUACUCGGGAUUGUGUCUUAAAAUUAAUAGAAAGUGUUAAAAAAGAUGUUAAAAUUGAACUUUAGAAAUUUAUAUUAUAAUCAAUAACCAAAGUUGACGUGUGACCUAUAUUGUAUGGUUGGAUUUUGAACACAACUAUCACUUCCAAGCCAUCAAAAGUAAAAGGGAGGAAACAGGGGAUUAGUACGGUCACGUGGGAGUUAAAUUGUUCUAUUUUUCAUCCACCAAAUAAAAAAUAUUAACUUGAUAUCCUCAAAUAAUAAUAUUUUAUAAUACUUAUUUAUUUUUUAAUUUAAAAUUCUAAUAUAUAUUAUUAUAUUAUUAAAAUAACACUACAAUAUAAUUAUUAAAUAAAAACUAAUUUUAAAAAAAAUAAUUAAUCACUAUAUUUAUUAAAUUAGAUAUUAUUUUAAAAAUUAAAAUAAUUAUUGGUAUUUAAAGUAUUUUUUUUAUCAAGAUUAAUAAAAUGAAUUAAAAGAACAUCUAAGAAAUGUUUCAAGCUAUAUAUAUAAGAGUUAGUUUAAAAUCUCCAUAACAAAAUCCAUUAAAAAUCCAAAAAAAACUUUUAAAAUGGUUUCUAUUAUAAAUUAGUUUUUAAAUUUAUAUUUAAUUAAAUUUCAAUUUAAAAAUUACUUUACAUGUAAUAAUUUUGUAGUUUAUAAAAUAGCUAAUUUUUUUUUUCAAAAUUAAUUAAUAUAGUAAUUGAUUGUUUUUAUUUCCAAAAUUAAUUUGUAUGUAAUGAUUUUAGAGCAAUGAGAGUUGUGAAGUGUGAAGUGAAUGUAUUUUUUUUGAAGGAAUUUUGUUUCUCUUGACAAUUACUAGACCAAUUAUUGAGAAUUAAAAGAAAACGUACCACUGAUGUUGCUUUGAUAACUAUCUCCCUGUUAUAGCCACAAAAAUCUUCUUGCCCUUCGAAAGAUGAUAGCAUCACAUCCAUGAAGUCCCUUUCACAUCCACCAUUCAUGUUAUCUCCUCUCGUCUUCACAUGUUCUUCAAGCCACUUCUGAAGGAUAAAGUCUAGUUUCUUAGCUGUUCUUUUCAUGAAACUGAGAUGUCCUUGAAAAUCAAACCAACUCAGUGAUGGAAUUGCAUCAGCCACCACAAAAAUACCACACAGAUACGUGGCAUCUUUUAUGGCUUUCCUCAGCUUCCACGCCUCAUUAUCUUCUUCAUUAACUGUGUCCCCUCCAAAUCUCUUUCCAGCUAUCAUCCUCACAAUUAUAUUGAAGGUCAUGUGCUCCAAUAAAUUGCUCAUAGCCACUUCAGUUGAACCCUUCACGUUCUUUAUCGAUGAUAUUGAUGAGUACAACUCCUUCACAAGUGACAAUGUUUCACUGUCUCUCACAUGCUUCAGCUUCUCAAGCCUGUAGCUUGAGAAAAUCUCAAGAACUGCCAUUUUUCUAAUCUCACGCCAGUAAUUUCCAUAAGGGGCAAGGCCAAACACUGCAUGGUUGUAACCCAGGAUUCUCCCUGCAGAAGUGUUUGGCCUUGAGGCAAAAACUCUGUCAUUUUUUGUGAGGCACUCCUUUGCAAUUUCCCUGCUGUUCACCACUAUGGUGGGGUGGCAACCCAGUUUGACACAGAAAAUUGGACCAUAUUUCUCAGCCAUGGCUGAAAAGGUCCUGAAAUAGGGUAUUCUAGCAUUCAGCAGAUGGAGGUGCCCUAUGAAAGGUAAAGCAACACCAGGUUCGGGUACUUUUGUGCCCUUUUUAGGUUUAGUAGAUCUAUUCAGAGAUCUAAUGAACCUAAACACUUUGCAUGCAAUUAACAAAGCUAAGAUUCCUGCAAAAGUUGGGACAUAGGAAGCAGGAUCCAUGGG
rnacentral:lncRNA from 1 species